rnacentral:misc_RNA from 1 species
GAUGAAGAACGUAGCGAAAUGCGAUACUUGGUGUGAAUUGCAGAAUCCCGUGAACCAUCGAGUCUUUGAACGCAAGUUGCGCCCGAAGCCAUUAGGCCGAGGGCACGCCUGCCUGGGCGUCACACGUCGUUGCCCCCCCAUCUACUCCUUCGGGAUUGCGGGGGGCGGAUGAUGGCCUCCCGUGCGCCUAGUCGCGCGGUUGGCAUAAGAGCCAAGUCCUCGGCGACGCACGCCACGACAAUCGGUGGUUGCGAAACCUCGGUUGCCCGUCGUGUGCGGUCGUCGCGCAUCGAGGGCUCGAAAAAAUUGCCGGGCUCCGGCUCGGCUUUCAACGCGACCCCAGGUCAGGCGGGGUUACCCGCUGAAUUUAAGCAUAUCAAUAAGCGGAGGA